rnacentral:miRNA from 1 species
ACGUCCUGUAUUGCUGUUGGGC